rnacentral:lncRNA from 1 species
GGGGAGUCACGAGUUCCUGCAGGGUUUGUUCUUCUUCUUGGGUCAGGACUGGGGAGGGGGGGGAAAAAGGGGAAAUUAUCCCAAAAUUAUCCCAAAAUUAUCCUGGAAUUGUCCCAAAAUUAUCCCAAAAAUAUCCUGGAAUUGUCCCAAAAAAUUAUCCCAAAAAUAUCCUGGAAUUGUCCCAAAAUUAUCCCAAAAUUAUCCCAAAAUUAUCCCAAAAAUAUCCCAAAAAUAUCCUGGAAUUGUCCUGGAAUUAUCCCAAAAAUAUCCUGGAAUUGUCCCAAAAUUAUCCUGGAAUUGUCCCAAAAUUAUCCCAAAAUUAUCCCAAAAAUAUCCCAAAAUUAUCACAAAAAAUAUCCCCAAAAUAUCCCAAAAUUAUCACAAAAUUAUCCUGGAAUUGUCCCAAAAUUAUCCCAAAAUUAUCCCAAAAAAUAUCCCAAAAUUAUCCUGGAAUUAUCCUGGAAUUGUCCCAAAAUUAUCCUGGAAUUAUCCCAAAAUUAUCCCAAAAUUUGUCCCAAAAUUAUCCUGGAAUUAUCCCAAAAUUAUCCCAAAAUUAUCACAAAAAAUAUCCCAGAAUUAUCCCAAAAAUAUCCAAAAAUUAUCCUGGAAUUGUCCCAAAAUUAUCCCAAAAAUAUCCUGGAAUUGUCCCAAAAAAUAUCCCAGAAUUGUCCCAAAAAUAUCCCAAAAUUAUCACAAAAUUAUCCUGGAAUUGUUCCAAAAUUAUCCCAAAAUUAUCCCAAAAAUAUCCCAAAAAUAUCCCAAAAAUAUCCCAAAAUUAUCCCAAAAUUAUCCCAAAGUUUUCCCAAAAAUAUCCCAAAAAUAUCCUGGAAUUGUCCCAAAAUUAUCCCAAAAUUAUCCUGGAAUUAUCCCAAAAUUAUUCUGAAUUUACCCCAAAAUUAUCCCAGAAUUGUCCCAAAAUUAUCCCAAAAAUAUCCCAGAAUUAUCCUGGAAUUGUCCCAAAAUUAUCCCAAAAAUAUCCCAAAAUUGUCCUGGAAUUAUCCCAAAAUUAUCCCAAAAUUCCACCAAAAUUCCCCCAAAAUUCCUUUAAAAUUCCUCAAAAUUCCCCAAAAAAUUCCAAAAAAUUCCCCCAAAAUUCCUUUAAAAUUCCCCCAAAAUUCCUUUAAAAUUCCCUCAAAAUUCCCCCAAAAAUUCCUCCCCCAAAAUUCCUUUAAAAUUCCCCCAAAAUUCCUUUAA